GAGGGUCUAGCUCAGUGGUAGAGUGCGUGCUUAGCAUGCACAAGGUCCUGGGUUCAAUCCCCAGUACCUCCA
rnacentral:tRNA from 1 species